AGAAAUUCAUAGAUGGAAAGAGUAAGUUUUUUGGCUUUUCUCAGAGAGCGGUCGUUUGGUGAAAGAUCGCAAAAACCAAUCAUACUGAAAAUCAUUCCGGAGAAGCGCAGACGAUAAGUGAAGUCUGCGACGGUGAUCCCCGUUACAGGAUUAAGUAUUUCGGCAAAUAGCUGAGAUGCGAAAGAGAUUGCUCAAUAAAUAGAAUUGAGUAAAAAAAUGGUGGUACCGCGAUUGAUUGAUCGCCCGUUGA
rnacentral:ncRNA from 1 species